UACAGAGGUCUCAAGCGUUGUUCGGAUUCAUUGGGCGUAAAGGGUGCGUAGGCGGCGCGGUAAGUCGGAUGUGAAAUUUCGGAGCUUAACUCCGAAACUGCAUUCGAUACUGCCGUGCUUGAGGACUGGAGAGGAGACUGGAAUUUACGGUGUAGCAGUGAAAUGCGUAGAGAUCGUAAGGAAGACCAGUGGCGAAGGCGGGUCUCUGGACAGUUCCUGACACUGAGGCACGAAGGCCAGGGGAGCAAACGGG
rnacentral:rRNA from 1 species